rnacentral:lncRNA from 1 species
CUUUCCAGAUAAAGACAUAGGACUGGAAUUCAAGUGAUUUGCUUUGGAAAGCACAGCAAGUUGGUGUUCAUUCUCUAUUAGAACUUGUGUAGAGUAUUCAUAGAGACAGAGCACUACAGUUUACUUUUUAGCUUCCAUGGAAAUGAAACACUGAAAAACUAAAAAAAGAGAAAAACAGAAAGUAAGAGAAAUGUUAUUGAAAUUUUAUUUUAUUGUAUACUACUACAAGGAGGUUUGUAAAUAUUCUAAUUUUGGAGAACAACCUACAUUUUGGAGAGAUAUCCAUCAAUGUUAAUAAAUUAAAGGAAUUUCAUCUUAGAAAAUGAAAGGGCAUAUAGAUUAGAACAAAAAUAUUGAGGUUAUAAUACAAUUUUUAUAUCAUUGCCCCUGAAUGAUGCAUCUAAUAUUAAUGACUAGAUUGAUUUGGGGAAAUAUUGAAGUAAUCAGGAACUGCUUUAAAAAUAAAUGCAUCUACCUAAGUAAAUCACCUUUGCAUAAGAUAUACCAUUCUUUCCCAAUGUAGUAGAAUGAAUCCAUAUGUAGUAGAAUGAAAUUUAACUUCUAUCCAUCAACCUGUACAUAACUCAAAGUGAAUGAUUACCUAGAUCCAUGGAUACAACUAUAAACAUUCUUGUAGGUCUGUAUCUAGAAUUCCAUAUGAUGAUGAUUGUAUAGCUGCCUUCAAUGAUGGCACUUUUUUCCUCUGGC